AGCUGAGGGUUAGUCGGGACCUAACGCGAACCCGAAAGGGGUAGUGGAUGGACAAUGGGUUAAUAUUCCCAUACUUGCUCACACUAAAAAGGGGACGGAUUUACGUACUUACUGGAGACUGACGGAAUAGUCAAGGCUUAGCCUUCGGGCGAAGCUGCUGUAGGGAAAUAGAUUCCAAGAAAAGCCGAAGUGAAGCAACCCGUACCAUAAACCGACACAGGUAGUCGAGGAGAGAAUCCUAAGGUGCUAGAGUGAAUCAUGGUUAAGGAACUAGGCAAAAUAGUCUCGUAACUUCGGAAGAAGAGACGCCAGCAGCAAUGUUGGCCGCAGUGAAGAGGCCCAGGCGACUGUUUAUCAAAAACACAGGACUCUGCAAAAUCGAAAGAUGCAGUAUAGGGUCUGACACCUGCCCGGUGCUGG
rnacentral:rRNA from 2 species